rnacentral:lncRNA from 1 species
AUGUCUGUGUCUGAUUUCCCCUCUGCAGGUAUGCAGGAGUGCUUUUCCAACUUAUUCUGGUGGUGCCGCUUUGAUUUCUGGAGAUCUUAACAGGACCAGGGGUGCCCAGGAUUUGGAGAGAUAUGGAGUUACUGGUAAAAGAGAGGUCUGCUGCUCAAAGAGGAAACUGAAUCAGAACAGCUCAGGAAGAAAAACAGCUGCUUUAAAACAAAGUUAUCCAGAUCUUUUCCUAAUAGAAGAAAUUACUGCAAUGUGCCAGGCUACAGCUGAAAGCAAGAUGUUUGUGACAGAUCCUUUUCUACCUGAAAUUGGCUUUUAAAGCAGGCA